UACGGAGGGUGCAAGCGUUAUCCGGAUUCACUGGGUUUAAAGGGUGUGUAGGCGGGUAAUUAAGUCAGUGGUGAAAUCUCCAGGCUCAACCUGGAAACUGCCAUUGAUACUAUUUAUCUUGAAUCCUGUUGAGGUGGGCGGAAUAUAUCAUGUAGCGGUGAAAUGCUUAGAUAUGAUAUAGAACACCGAUUGCGAAGGCAGCUCACUAAACAGGCAUUGACGCUGAGGCACGAAAGCGUGGGGAUCAAACAGGAUUAGAAACCCUCGUAGUCC
rnacentral:rRNA from 1 species